AGUUUGGUUGCAGUUACAGGCUCGUAGUUGGAUUUCGGGUGGGUUUUAGCGGUCCGCCUAUGGUGAGUACUGCUAUGGCCUUCCUUACUGUCGGGGACCUGCUUCUGGGCUUCACUGUCCGGGACAGGGAUUCGGCAUGGUUACUUUGAGUAAAUUAGAGUGUUCAAAGCAGGCUUACGCCGGAAUACUUUAGCAUGGAAUAACAUGAUAGGACUCUGCCCUAUUUUGUUGGCCUGUAGGAGUGGAGUAAUGAUUAAGAGGAACAGUCGGGGGCAUUCGUAUUUCAUUGUCAGAGGUGAAAUUCUUGGAUUUAUGAAAGACGAACUACUGCGAAAGCAUUUGCCAAGGAUGUUUUCAUUAAUCAAGAACGAAAGUUGGGGGCUCGAAGACGAUUAGAUACCGUCGUAGUCUCAACCAUAAACGAUGCCGACUAGGGAUUGGCGGACGUUUUUGCAUGACUCCGUCAGCACCUUGAGAGAAAUCAAAGUUUUUGGGUUCGGGGAAAGAUGGUAGAAAACACAAA
rnacentral:rRNA from 1 species